rnacentral:rRNA from 1 species
GACGAACGCUGGCGGCGUGCUUAACACAUGCAAGUCGAACGGAAAGGCCCUGCUUUUGUGGGGUGCUCGAGUGGCGAACGGGUGAGUAACACGUGAGUAACCUGCCCUUGACUUUGGGAUAACUUCAGGAAACUGGGGCUAAUACCGGAUAGGAGCUCCUGCUGCAUGGUGGGGGUUGGAAAGUUUCGGCGGUUGGGGAUGGACUCGCGGCUUAUCAGCUUGUUGGUGGGGUAGUGGCUUACCAAGGCUUUGACGGGUAGCCGGCCUGAGAGGGUGACCGGCCACAUUGGGACUGAGAUACGGCCCAGACUCCUACGGGAGGCAGCAGUGGGGAAUAUUGCACAAUGGGCGGAAGCCUGAUGCAGCAACGCCGCGUGCGGGAUGACGGCCUUCGGGUUGUAAACCGCUUUCGCCUGUGACGAAGCGUGAGUGACGGUAAUGGGUAAAGAAGCACCGGCUAACUACGUGCCAGCAGCCGCGGUGAUACGUAGGGUGCGAGCGUUGUCCGGAUUUAUUGGGCGUAAAGGGCUCGUAGGUGGUUGAUCGCGUCGGAAGUGUAAUCUUGGGGCUUAACCCUGAGCGUGCUUUCGAUACGGGUUGACUUGAGGAAGGUAGGGGAGAAUGGAAUUCCUGGUGGAGCGGUGGAAUGCGCAGAUAUCAGGAGGAACACCAGUGGCGAAGGCGGUUCUCUGGGCCUUUCCUGACGCUGAGGAGCGAAAGCGUGGGGAGCGAACAGGCUUAGAUACCCUGGUAGUCCACGCUGUAAACGGUGGGUACUAGGUGUGGGGUCCAUUCCACGGGUUCCGUGCCGUAGCUAACGCUUUAAGUACCCCGCCUGGGGAGUACGGCCGCAAGGCUAAAACUCAAAGGAAUUGACGGGGCCCCGCACAAGCGGCGGAGCAUGCGGAUUAAUUCGAUGCAACGCGUAGAACCUUACCUGGGUUUGACAUGGAUCGGGAGUGCUCAGAGAUGGGUGUGCCUCUUUUGGGGUCGGUUCACAGGUGGUGCAUGGCUGUCGUCAGCUCGUGUCGUGAGAUGUUGGGUUAAGUCCCGCAACGAGCGCAACCCUUGUUCACUGUUGCCUGCACGUUAUGGUGGGGACUCAGUGGAGACCGCCGGGGUCAACUCGGAGGAAGGUGGGGAUGACGUCAAGUCAUCAUGCCCCUUAUGUCCAGGGCUUCACGCAUGCUACAAUGGCUGGUACAGAGAGUGGCGAGCCUGUGAGGGUGAGCGAAUCUCGGAAAGCCGGUCUCAGUUCGGAUUGGGGUCUGCAACUCGACCUCAUGAAGUCGGAGUCGCUAGUAAUCGCAGAUCAGCAACGCUGCGGUGAAUACGUUCCCGGG